UGAUUGGUUGCUAUGGGCAACUCAGCAACUUUUCCUCUAGACAGGUUUUGAUAAAUCUCCCCCAAUGUUAUCGUUAAUAUGUGGCACCAAAGAGAAAACUCUAUCUUGUAAAAGAGAGCUACUUUGCAUAUUUAUUUCAUGAACUGUAAGGAGAAACAUUAUACCCGCAGUCCAACCAAAAUCAGCCAGGGGCUAAAGGAAACAUCUGUCAUUUGCUGUUAGACUGGCAGCUUAUCCAAACCUAACACGUGCACACUGCUUGACACAGGUAAGGAGUAAAAAACGUGCAAAAAUGGAAAAACCCUCAAUCCUUAAGGGGUUAAAGGAGGAAAAUAGGAGGUCGAAGCUUACUAGGAGUCUUAUCAGAACAAGCUGUACAUGAAAAGUUCAAAGCAGAAGCGGAAUAGUGAAAGAAGACUUAGGCUACCUGCCAAGAUCUUGCAAAAAGCAGCUGUUUUACAGUUAAGAGAUUGUUAAAUAUAUUAUUUGAGACUUAUUUCUCAUCGGUUUAUCUUUUUUUUUUUUCAAUGUGUACAACCUAUUUCAGUUAAAAACUCAUCAAACAACCAUCUUUCACA